rfam:Triticum aestivum genome assembly, contig: Triticum_aestivum_CS42_TGACv1_scaffold_344065_4DL
AAACUACUCCCUUCGUCCGGAAAUACUUGUCGGAGAAACGGAUGUAUUUAGACGUAUUUUAGUUAUAGAUACAUCCAAUUUCAUCCAUCUCUCCGGCAAGUAUUUCGGGACGGAGGGAGUAUAUC